GAAAGCAACAUGGCGUACGAGUAAAGGUGUGAAAAUGUGGACAAAAUGUUGUCGAAUUUAUACCUGAUAUAUCACCCUGAGUAGGGAAUCCAUUCACAAAAGGAAUGGCACACAUAAGAAGAGAGAAGCAGGACUUGAAGAUAUUUUGCAUGAUAUUCUUAUCCUUGGUGGGUGAUUACUGUCUUCAGUACUGAUUGACUGGAUCUUGAUGGUGCUGCAUCAUCUGACAAGUCUUUGCAGCACAACAGCUUGGUAUAACUGAAUAUAACAGAUUUGGUGUAACUGCAGAGAAAACAGAAGAAUAUGAUCAAAAACCGAUCUCAUGUUUGCAACUUGUCAAAGCAUAAAAAUAGUGAUAAGUUAUGUGUUUAAAGUGUCAAAGAUUCUGAUUCCUCAGAAAUACAACAGCAAUACACAAGGUAUAGUUCAGGUUACAUAGUAGGGUUGUACUCUAACUAGACUGUCAAUAGUCUCUGUUUUUACUUUGUCAUUCUUCAUAUUUUAAGGGGAUAAAUGAAUUGGAAUAGACCCUCUAGUUUCGUUUUGCAUAAACUACCUAGCCCCCUCCCCCUGGGGAUAUUAAAGGCUACCAAUCCUUGUUCAGCCAAGUUAACCACAGCAAACAGUGACAAGGGGAAAUGGAGGGAUUGCUUUCAGUCUGUACACUUACAUAUCUAAUAGCUCAACUUACUUGUCUGUCAUGUAUACUGGCCAAAGCUACACAGCAUCACAAGAUACUUGACUGUAAUGGCUGGUAAGCUGAGGGGAAAAAGAAGACUUUUUUUGAAACAUAAAUUAUACAUUUUUUUGCAAUGUUUUUGGAAGGUAUGAAUUGGAUAUUGCAUAAUAUGGCACUUUUAACCACUGCAUACAACUAGCACACAUAUUCUAACAUCUUUCGUUCACCAUUUAAUAUAAUUACAUGGACAACACAUAGCUCAACUUACUUGUUUGUUGCACUAGAAUGGCCUGCAAGAAGUUGACAGCAUCAUAACACUUGGACUUAUCUGUAAUGGCUGACAAGCUGAAAAUAGGAUGAGAUAACAAUUUAGGAACAGGUAUGAAUUAUAUAGAUUGGCUUUACAAAUUUUUAAGAUAAAGUACUGUACACUGAUGUACCCUACUAAACUACAACUUGAUACACAUAUUUUUAUAGAGCGUUUUCACAUGACAUCACAGCGACCAUUAUGGGGUACCAAAACAAUACAUUUUCUAUCCUCCGGGAAUUUAACUCUAUUUUUAUGCAAAUACUGCGUAGAAAGUUUCUAUUGUUUAUGGCUGCCUUGUCACAUGAGUGAAAAUGCUCUAUGGCACUAAACAUAAAGUUUACUGUACAAUGCUAUAUUAUGCUGCAGGGCUUGAAAAUAACGGCCAGACGUCAGACAAUGUCCGGCCAGAACGGGACUUGUCCAGUCAAAUAUAAUUGCCUCACAAGUCGUUUUGACCAGUAAGGUUUGCCAGAAUGAGGUAUGACUGAGCUAUUUACUUCAAUAUCCAUAUAGCAACAAGGUGAGUCCACAUUCUUAUGAAGGUCACAGGGUCAUCACCAGGUUACCACAUCAUUAAUUAGGUCAAUACUCAUAAAUUAACAAGGUGAGUCCAUAUUGCUAUCAAAGUCUUUUUCUUUUGUUUUAAUGCAGUUAAUCCAUUAUUACAAGAUAGAUAYUGGACUAUUCCAUGAUAAGCUUGCUGGUUGGUGUGUAUAUAUAUUGGCUAUCAGCCUCAGAUGUCAGGUAUGAACAGCCGCCAUCUUGUUCAAGCUCACUGGAAAGUUUUAUGGAGUAUUUUUCGUGUAAUCAGUAUUUCUAUAGCUGCAAUACAAAAACAUAAGUCAUUGAGACAUUAAUAUUUCGGAUUUUGGUGGUUCUAAUGAGGUAGGAAUGUCUUGAAACUUACACGAACCAAGUUCCGUGUAACAUUCAAACCCAAAGUUUCAAAAAAUGUUAAAAUAUGAAAAUAUUCUUAAGGUAAGUUUACAUACUGUUUGAAAACUUCAUGAAACAUUGUUAUUUGUUAUCAAUUUUAUCAUUUCUUUUCAGAAAAGGUGGAUUUUUCAGGUUUCAAAGUUAGCACGUGUCAUGGCGGACGAAGCCGAUGAAACGAACAUUCGAAGUUUUUUAAACUGGUCAAAAAUACAGAAAAACGAAAGAAAAACGCAGAAAAAACGAAAUAACUCUUACCUUUCAUAGUUCUCGUGUGCUUCUCUCUCUGUUAGGUCAAGCACGAGCUAAUAACCAUCUUUGUUCUUGUACAAUUUCAGCCUAAAAGCCCAUCGUGUUUUGCACCCGUUGAAACACAUCCACAACGAACAGCAGCGUGCAACAAAUGAAGAGGUGACAUGCACAGGGACUGGAUACUAGCAUUUUACACAGGGAUCCCGCAAAAACCGGACUUUUUGGCGAGAAAAUAACGAAAAUUAAACGGUUUUUGGUCAUUAUUUUUUGCCGAACACGUAARAAAUAAGUAGAGAAGGCUGUUUUAGCACUCUACGGAGGGUAAAACCCUGGGAAAAUGCCUGUUUUAAGCAAAAAAUAAAAAUAUGCUAAUUAGUCACGUGACAAGUCACGUGACCCAAUAUUUUUCAUUUUUURGGUCAGUUUUUCAAUUUUUUGAUCUUGGAAAAAAUAAAUUGGUAGGGUUAAGUUAAUUUCAUUUCCUUUUAUUAUCUAUUCAAUGAAGCGGUUUAUAAUAAAAGACCAUUGAACCUU